rnacentral:rRNA from 1 species
UACGGGGGGGGGCAAGCGUUGUUCGGAAUUACUGGGCGUAAAGGGCUCGUAGGUGGCCAACUAAGUCAGACGUGAAAUCCCUCGGCUUAACCGGGGAACUGCGUCUGAUACUGGAUGGCUUGAGUGUGGGAGAGGCGCGUGGAAUUGCAGGUGUAGCGGUGAAAUGCGUAGAUAUCUGCAGGAACACCCGUGGCGAAAGCGGCGCGCUGGACCACUACUGACGCUGAGGAACGAAAGCUAGGGGAGCAAACAGG